rnacentral:rRNA from 1 species
AGAGCGAACGCUGGCGGCAGGCCUAACACAUGCAAGUCGAGCGCUCCGCAAGGGGAGCGGCAGACGGGAGAGUAACACGUGGGAACGUACCCUUCAGUUCGGAACAACCCAGGGAAACUUGGGCUAAUACCGAAUACGUCCGUAAGGAGAAAGAUUUAUCGCUGAAGGAUCGGCCCGCGUCUGAUUAGCUUGUUGGUGAGGUAACGGCUCACCAAGGCGACGAUCAGUAGCUGGUCUGAGAAGAUGAUCAGCCUCACUGGGACUGAGACACGGCCCAGACUCCUACGGGAGGCAGCAGUGGGAAUAUUGGACAAUGGGCGCAAGCCUGAUCCAGCCAUGCCGCGUGGGUGAUGAAGGCCCUAGGGUUGUAAAGCCCUUUCGGCGGGGAAGAUAAUGACGGUACCUGCAGAAGAAGCACCGGCUAACUACGUGCCAGCAGCCGC